AAUCUAUGAUCGUUGUAAAAUGGUUCUGUGUUUACUUGUAUUACGACUAUUUUAUUAUUUUGCAUAAAGUAAUAUCGAAAAUAAAUAUGUUACUUUUGUGAUUGUGAUAUCGCAUAAUUAACGAGAGAGAAAUGAUAUUUAAUGAUUAUUCGAAUUCAUUAGUAAAAUAGCAUCGUAGAAAUGACUCCCAAACGCAAAACCACGAGUUCUGAAUCAACAUCAUCGUCGAGUUCUGGCUCUUCGUCGAGUAGUUCUUCAAGUUCUGGUAGUGAAUCAAGUUCAUCCGAUUCUGAAAACUCUAGCAGUUCGGCUAAUAGUCAGAAAGCAUCUGAUUCCGAAAGAUCCAAGAAGAAAGUACCGUUUCCACAGGCCAGACAUGUUAAAUCUAAAACUGAACCAACACCGACCACAACGGCAGAAAAUAAAAGCAAGGAGAGACCGCAACCUAAAUCUAGACCAGUAGUUUAUUCCUCAGAAUCCGAAGAGUCACCUAGCAAAUUGAAACCUGUGAAAAGGAAAUUACCUGCUAAACCUAAAGCUACAGCAACUGUAGCGCCAGUAGUUAAAGUUCAAAAAUCACCUAUCAAGCCAUCGUCUAACAUUACCCAACACAAAAAUGUUUUAGCCGUUAAACCGAAUACUAAACAAGUCAAGCUUUCAGGACCCUCGGGAACGAAUAUAAAAGUAUCGGAUAAAAAUACCAAAAUACCGUUGGAACCGUUGCAAAAAAAAUUUAAAAAAAAGAGUAUAUUUAGUCCUGAAAAUAGUAGUGAAAGCGACAACUCUUCUGCACCUAAAAUUAAUGCAAUUAAAGCGGCUAACAAUAACGUCAAAUGUAACAAAACUCAACCUAAGAUGAAACCUGCGGAGCCCAAAUUAAAAGCUGCUGUACCACCAAGACCCGCUCUAGCAGCUAAACCUCCGCAAAUUCAAAAAUCUGAUAGUUCUGCCAGUUCCAAGAGUUGUUCGGGUGGAUCAGGUUCCUCUGGUUCAACAGAUAGUAGCAGCGAUUCGGAUUCAUCGGAAAGUGCUACUAGUCCACAAUCUCAACCUAAAAAGAAAGAUAUUCCACCACCGGUAGCACAGAAUAUUGCAGCAAGUGUUCAACCUAAAAGACCAUCGGCAACGGUUGCACCGGUUAAACCUUUAAAAUGUACAAAGAGACAAGUAGGUAGAAUAAAAAGUGAAGACGAUGGAGAUGCGUCAGCCAGUGACAAGGAAAUAGAUGAAAACAUUGAUGUGAAUCCUUCUAAGGGAACGGUUAAAGGAAAACGGAAGUUGCAGACUCGUAAAGGAAGCAAGUUACUACAACUGCAAACGAAAGCUGCCAGCGAUUCGGAAUCUGACACAGUAUGGUUCUCAGGUAUGGAAACGGUAGAGCGUAAACGUAUCCUGCAAAUUCCACUGAUCCGGUGUGAUUUAUCGGGAGUAGCUGAAAGCAAGAGAAGUACGAGCAAGUCACCGGUUAAGCGUGCUGGUCCUAGUCAAGGCGCUAGACAUUCAACAUCCACAACGACCAAUAGAACAACGCAGAGCACUACUACUGGGUCUUCCAGUUCUGCUGCUAAUAGAACCGGACAAAACUCAUACAAUCGUACACGUACUACCAAGGAAAGAGAAUGUCCAUUGGCAGCAUGCUGCGACUCCCGUGGCCAUCUUUCUGGAAAACUUGACACACAUUUUACCUUGGAAGCGUGUCCCUUGUAUCACAACACUACGCCGCAAAAUUGCAUAGAAUUUUAUAAAGAAAGGAAAAAGAAGGAAGAUGAACGGAAGAAGUCGAUAGCGAAUCUUGCUAAAAAAUCACCCAAAGGUGGACAUCAGACUACGGAACAACGUAAUUAUCAACUCAAAGUUAGAGAGAUAAGAAACAAGUGGAAACCGCAUACGGGUGAAAAUAAUGGUAGCGAUAGCGGUAAUGAUCUUCCUGGAAAUGAAAAGGACAAACAACCGCGUUUGACCAAUCUCACUUCUGAUUACGAUUUGAAAUUAUUUAUGGAAGCUCAAGCGACGUCCAGCGAAAAAAUUGAAAAAGAAUUGAAAGAAUUGGACUACGACGGAGAUGGCAGAAACAGCGGUGGUACUCGAUGCAUCGAAAUGGGAAAAUGGGAAAUGGAAGUUUGGUAUCAAAGCCCGUAUCCGGAAGAAUUUAGUCGUGCACCGAAACUUUAUCUUUGCGAAUAUUGUCUGAGAUAUGCGAAGAGUCGUCAGGUGUUGAGAAGACACAGAGAAAAAUGUUUAUGGAGACAUCCACCUGGACACGAAGUAUACAGAAAAGAUAAGAUCGGUGUCUGGGAAGUGGAUGGCAAACGUUACAAACAAUAUUGUCAAAAUCUGUGUCUCCUAGCGAAGUUCUUCUUAGAUCAUAAAACUCUUUACUACGACGUGGAACCGUUCCUCUUCUACGUGAUGACCAUUAGCGAUUCUGAAGGAUGUCAUACGGUUGGUUACUUCAGUAAGGAAAAAAAUUCAUUCCUGAAUUACAACGUUUCCUGCAUUCUGACGUUGCCGCCAUAUCAAAGACAAGGUUAUGGUCGACUUCUAAUCGAUUUUAGUUAUCUGUUAACAAGGGUUGAGAAGAAGAUAGGUUCACCGGAAAAACCUUUAUCGGAUUUGGGUCUAAUAUCUUAUCGAAGUUAUUGGAAGGACGUUUUACUGCAGUACCUUUGUAAUUUUGGCGGAAAAGAACUUUCGGUUAAAGAUAUCAGCAAAGAAAUGGCAAUUGAUUCGUACGACAUCGUUAGUACAUUGCAAGCCCUUGGAAUGAUGAAAUAUUGGAAGGGCAAGCACAUUAUAUUGAAGAAACAAGAUGUGAUCGACGAUUAUAAGGAAAGGAUGAAACGACGAGGUCUCCUCUACAAGGAGAUUGAUCCAGAGUGCCUAAAAUGGAAUCCCUUCCAACCUCCCAAGACUCCUUCAACUUCGAACUAAAAGGGCUAAAGGAAAAAGAUCGAAAAGUGAUGAAGAGACCAAGAAAAGAAAUAAAGGAGAAAGGGAAAACGAAGGAGGAUAAGAAGAUGAAGAAGGUUGGAACUCUCUCCCUCUUAGAGAAGCCGUAAAGCAGAUUACACGCCUGUAACGAUCAGUAAGGGCCAUAGAAUCCUUCCUGGAACCCGUUCGUUCCACGUCGAACGGUCUUGGAACAAAACCGAUGAGGAACUCAAUGCUAAAGUUAACUCAGAAAAAUCUUUAAUGAGA
rnacentral:misc_RNA from 1 species